rnacentral:rRNA from 1 species
UACGUAGGGGGCAAGCGUUGUCCGGAAUCAUUGGGCGUAAAGCGCGUGUAGGCGGCUUCGUAAGUCCGUUGUGAAAGUCCAGGGCUCAACCCUGGAAUGCCGAUGGAUACUGCGGAGCUAGAGUCCGGAAGAGGCGAGUGGAAUUCCUGGUGUAGCGGUGAAAUGCGCAGAUAUCAGGAGGAACACCAAUGGCGAAGGCAGCUCACUGGGACGGUAUUGACGCUGAGACGCGAAAGCGUGGGGAGCAAACAGG